rnacentral:lncRNA from 1 species
AUUUUUGCGGAUCCGGAUAUCUAGAAUAUCCGCCCACAUCCGUUGCGGAUAUUACCCGCAUCCAGAUCCGUAUUUUUUUUUACGGAUCCAUAUGUGGAUCCGAAUUUUGCCAACCCUAAUCACAGUCAAGAUUCCUGACAUUAUUCUAAACUAAAACCAUCAAUAAUAUGAAUUACUCAAAACUAAUCAUAAUGAUACCAAGAUUUCAAGUAUAUAAAGGCCUUACAAUAGGCAUCUAUGAUUGACAAUAAUAAUGAGUUGUAUAAGCCAAUUUCUCCAAAGGAGUCAUCUAA